rnacentral:tRNA from 1 species
UCCCUGGUGGCUCAAAGGUUAAAGCGUCUGCCUGCAAUGCGGGAGACCUGGGUUCGAUCCCUGGGUCGGGAA